rnacentral:piRNA from 1 species
UAAACUGCCAACUUUCAAGCUCCUCCA